rnacentral:rRNA from 1 species
ACGAGUGGCGAACGGGUGAGUAAUACAUCGGAACGUGCCCAGUCGUGGGGGAUAACUACUCGAAAGAGUAGCUAAUACCGCAUACGAUCUGAGGAUGAAAGCGGGGGACCUUCGGGCCUCGCGCGAUUGGAGCGGCCGAUGGCAGAUUAGGUAGUUGGUGGGAUAAAAGCUUACCAAGCCGACGAUCUGUAGCUGGUCUGAGAGGACGACCAGCCACACUGGGACUGAGACACGGCCCAGACUCCUACGGGAGGCAGCAGUGGGGAAUUUUGGACAAUGGGCGAAAGCCUGAUCCAGCAAUGCCGCGUGCAGGAUGAAGGCCUUCGGGUUGUAAACUGCUUUUGUACGGAACGAAAAAGCUUCUCCUAAUACGAGAGGCCCAUGACGGUACCGUAAGAAUAAGCU